rnacentral:rRNA from 1 species
CCAGACUCCUACGGGAGGCAGCAGUGAGGAAUAUUGGUCAAUGGGCGGGAGCCUGAACCAGCCAAGUCGCGUGAGGGACGACGGUCCUAUGGAUUGUAAACCUCUUUUGUCGGGGAACAAAGGCGCCCACGGGUGGGCGGAUGAGUGUACCCGAAGAAAAAGCAUCGGCUAACUACGUGCCAGCAGCCGCGGUAAUACGUAGGUGGCAAGCGUUAUCCGGAUUUACUGGGUGUAAAGGGCGUGUAGGCGGGGAAGCAAGUCAGAUGUGAAAACCACGGGCUCAACCUGUGGCCUGCAUUUGAAACUGUUUUUCUUGAGUGCUGGAGAGGCAAUCGGAAUUCCGUGUGUAGCGGUGAAAUGCGUAGAUAUUAGGAGGAACACCAGUGGCGAAGGCGGUCUGCUGGACAGCAACUGACGCUGAGGCGCGAAAGCGUGGGGAGCAAACAGGAUUAGAUACCCUAGUA